CCCCCCCCCUGCACUCAGCUAGCCUGGGGAUGGGGGAUGCCCUGGGACCGUGCCUGGGAAAGAACAGACUCCAUUUGUCCUUUUGGCUGUUCCAGGAGACACUGUCCCAUUUGUCAGUUUGUCUGUCUGUUCCUGGGAGACACAGGCCCCAUUUGUCAGUUUGUCUGUUCCUGGAAGACACGGGCCCCUUUGUCAGUUUGGUCCUGGGAGAGGCUGUACCCUAUUUGUCCAUCUGUCUGUCUGUUCCAGGAGACACAGGCCCCUUUAUCAGUUUGUCUGUUCCUGGGAGACACUGUCCCAUUUGUCAGUUUGUCUGUCUGUUCCUCAUUUGUUCGUCUGUCUCUGCUACAGCCUGGAUCCCAUUUGUUUAUCUGACUGUCCUGAUGCAGACUGCCCCCCCCCCCCCCCCCCCCCCCCCCGUCUGUCCAUCCGCCUACUUCCUUCUGUCGUUUCCUGCUUCUGCCCUCAAUUGCACGUCUUUCUCUGGCCAUUCAGUCAGGCCUGGAGAGACACUGAGUCCACCCGUCCAGCUCUCUGGACUCCAUUUCUCCGUCCUCCCAUCUGUGCCCGGGAAUACCCCUUUGGUCAUCUGUCUGUCCGCCCAUGUGUCCCCGGAGAAGCCCCUGGGCUGCUCCCGGGCACAUAGGCUUCUGUCUCGUUGUCCGCCCCGUUUGGCUCGGUGAGAGACCGGCCCUGUCUGUCUGUGUGUCUGCUCUCGGGACUGGCCGGACUCUAUUUGUUGUUCCAGCUCUCUGUCCCUGGAAGGGCCCAUUUGUCCAUCAGUCCGUCCCUGGGAAGCUGGAGCCCAUUUUUCUGUCUGCUCCUGGUCGAGAGCAUCUGUCAGCAAAGCUCUGGAGCCGGGUCCGUCUGUCUGUCUCGUGCCCCCGGCCAUCCGUCUGUCUGUCCCAUGCCACUGUCUGUCCAUCUAUCCAUCCCCCGGCCGUCCACCUGCCCAUUCCUGGCCCCCCAACCCCACACCCCUGACCGUUCAUCUGUCCGUCCCCUCAAGCCCGUGACCCUGGCCAUCCGUCUGUCCGUCCCCUCCAGCCUGGGCCCCUGGUUGUCUGUCUGUCCAUUCCUGGCCCCCUGAUCCCACACCCCUGACCGUCCGUCUGUCCGUCCCCUCCAGCCCGUGCCCCCAGCCAUCCGUCUGCCCCCCGGCCCCCCUCCCUCUGGCUCGGGGACAGCCCGUACCCCAUCCAUCUUGCCCGCAUCCCGGAGGCACAUUCCUGGGCUUGGACGCGAGCCAAAGCAAACCCUGGUGGCCGCCUCUGCGGAAGCCCCUGCGGCGGGUGGGGGGUCUGGGGACGGGGGGGGGGGAGCAGGAAGGGGCGGGGGGCGUCUGGGCUGUGAGCCCUGUGCUCUAAGCCACCUUUUCAUGAGCGGUAAUUAGGCCCCGGGCCCAGCCCUGGCCCAGCCCGGCCCUGAGCCCGUCUGUCCAGCCCCGACCGCAGCGGGCGGGCCGGGUGCCCACCGCAACUCCCAGAAUGCCGGCUCGGCGUGCCUGGGGAGGGACGGGGCUGCCCCCCCUUCCUGGCCGCCCCGCCCCGCUUCCUGGAAGCCGGCGUGGGAGGGGCACCUUUCGGCUCCUGUAGUUGGCGGCAGGAGGGAGCCCCCGCCCGUGGCCUGGUGAGUCCCCGGCUGGGCCCCUGGAGGGUCUUUUCCCUGUACCCGAUCCCCGGGGGCCCCACCCCCAACUAACCCCGUGGCCCUGAGCCGCCAGAGCAGCUUCAUCCCCGGGUCACCUGGGGCCAGAGCCAAGGAUGGUGGGAGGGAAGUGGGCCCUGGGGUGGGGGCUGAGGGACGGGGCGGGGAAGGAGCCCUCUGCCUCCUGCUGGGCCCGGCUCCGGGCCGGAAGGGGAGGGGGGGGUGCACUUUCACUUUAGGGCGGGCAGGGGAAGCCCAGGCUGCAUUCCAGGUCCCCUGCUUCCUGGGGAGGGGGCCCCUCUCUCUGGGCCCCCUCCCCCCGGGGCCGGACCAAGGGGUCUCUGAGGGGAAGCCCCAACACCCCCUCCUCCCCCCACAGAACCCACCCCGCCCCACCCGGCCCCUUCCGGGUUUGCUAAGCGUCUGACACACCAGCCUGAGGAAUUGGUACCAGACUCACUUUACACACAAGGGAAACUGAGACAGCCUUUAACUAGCUCGCUCAGGGGUCCCGCUGCCAGUCAGUGUGGGAGGGGAGAGGGGGGCUCGCGGGCUCCAGGGCCAAAGUUCUUGUGGCUGCUCGGGCGGGGCCACAGCCUCCCGUCCCCAGCCCUCGGGGACUCUGGUCUCCCCGGCUCCUGUCCUGGGCCUCCCCUCCCUGGCACGGCCCGCCCCACUCAGAAGCCCCCCGGGGGUCUGCCCGGCCCGGGAGCGUGUCUGGGAGGCCGUGUGGUCCUCCCCAGGAAGGAGCGUCCCGGCCCCCCUCAGGGUCCCUCUGCGCCCCCAGCCUCCUCUUCCCCCUCCCUCGGGGCCAUGGCAGCUCCAGGGGCCGUGAUCCUCAACCCUGACGUGGCCCAGAAGGACCCUCGGGAAGCGCUGGUCGUGGCCGUCACUGCCAGAGCCACCUUCGACCUGGAGGCGGAGCACCGGCUGUUCCUGGCCCGGGGCCCGGAGGAGUACACCGAGUACCAGCGGGCGCACGCCACCGAGCCGCUGCCCCCGGGCACGGCCUUCCCCUUCAUCCAGGCGGUGCAACUGGUCAAUCAGAGGCUACUGGAGCGAGACCCGCGGGAGCGAGGUCUCCUGGACGUCAUGGUCCUCUCCAACAACAGCCCGGAGGCCGGCAGGCGGAUCGUCCACUGCGCCAGGCAGGCGGGCCUGGAGAUCUCCAAGUUCUGCUUCGUCAGCGCCGAGGACUCCACCCAGUACCUCCGGGAGCACAACGUGGGGCUCUUUCUGUCCACAGACAGGACCGACGUCUGCAACGCCCUGAAGCGGGGUGAGCCCUUCCCCCACCCCCACCCCCAGGUCUGCCCGCUCCCGGAGGCUCCUGGGAGGGCC
ensembl:lncRNA